rfam:Paenibacillus stellifer strain DSM 14472, complete genome.
UAACAUCGAAUAUGCUUACCGUAGACAGUAGGUGCCGAAAGGCUUAAUUUCCUACCGAGGUGUUCUGAUAGAAACAUAAGGAACGGUUAUGCCGUCAGCCUAUCGUUUUAUCAAGCCUUCGCAAAUCUGCGGAGGCUUUUCUAUUGCGCGU